GUGGGGAAUCUUCCGCAAUGGACGAAAGUCUGACGGAGCGACGCCGCGUGAGUGAAGAAGGCCUUCGGGUCGUAAAGCUCUGUCAUCAGGGACGAACGGCCGGUGGAGUGGAAAGCCACCGGAUUGACGGUACCUGAGAAGGAAGCCACGGCUAACUACGUGCCAGCAGCCGCGGUAAUACGUAGGUGGCAAGCGUUGUCCGGAAUUAUUGGGCGUAAAGCGCGCGCAGGUGGGAUCUUAAGUCCAUUUUGAAAGUUCGGAGCUCAACUCCGUGAUGGGAUGGAAACUGGGAUUCUUGAGUACCGGAGAGGAAAGCGGAAUUCCCCGUGUAGCGGUGAAAUGCGUAGAUAUGGGGAGGAACACCAGUGGCGAAGGCGACUUUCUGGACGGUGUCUGACACUGAGGCGCGAAAGCCAGGGGAGCGAACGGGAUUAGAUACCCUUGUAGUCC
rnacentral:rRNA from 1 species